AUCCAUCUGACGAGUCCCGAACAGGACGAAACGUUUAUCCUGGAU
rnacentral:hammerhead_ribozyme from 1 species